AGGAGCCUUUCUCCGGAUGCCACUCUUGCCCUAGUCUGUAGCUUUUCAAUUUUCUGAUUUAAAAGAAAUUAGAAAACAAAGGCUGGCCUAUCCUACACUAUCCGCUUUAGAUAUCCGUUCCAUGUGCGCAUGCGAUUAUCUUUGUUUCCUCGCAUUGACUCCCUUCUUUAGUUAUACCUUUCCCUUCCUCUUCAACUUCAUCACAUUCACACCCCACUUCACUCUUUCAUCUGUCCUCUGAUUUGAAGAUCUGAGAGUCCCUGCACACUUCGAGUUUGAUUUUGUUACAUUCACUUGCUCCGUUCUAAGCGGAGGAACUGGAAGAUCAAGCAACCAGCUGUCCUUUAUGGAUCCAUAAGUCAUAACGUCUAUAUUCAAACAUGGAGUUUCCCAUUUCAAUUGUUGGAUCAAUUCACUACAGGAUCUAGAGAAUCAAACAAGUUGUUGUGAAUAAGGUAGGCACGAAAUCAUCAAAAUUGGCAUGUUCCCUAGAAAAGAAAUGGAUUAUGAGCCCUUUGAAACGUGGAUUUCAUUUGAUAAAAUCAUGGAGAAGUGUAUUUGAUUGUAUGGAAUAGGGGGUGUGGGGAAGAAGACACUCGUCAAAAAAGUUUAUCGGUAGGCUACAAAAGAUAGGAAAAUUCUUGACGAUGUGGUUUUACUACUAGAUGUGAAACAAAAUUCAGACCUGGAAAGAAUUCAGAAAGAAAUUUUUGAAACACCCGGUCUGGGUGCAGAGAAAAGGGAGAGCACAGUCAAGUUAAAGAGGUGUUCGUCUAUGUGACAAGAUAAAAGACAAGAAGGCUCUUGUAAUAUUGGACGAUGUCUGGGAUAACACUGAUUUUGAGGCUGUCAUACGACUUGUUAACAUCUAGAAGUCGAAGAGUACUUUCACCUCAAAUGCAUCUUCAAAAGGGUUUGUGCUAGUUUAUUUGAGAAGAUGGCAGGUGAUAUUGUUAAAGAUCGCAGACUUUGAUUUUGUAGCAACCCAUAUAGCCUUGAUGUGGAGUUUUACUAGUUAUGGAUGUCACAGUUGCAAGAGCUUUAAAAAAUAGAAGUGCUCUCUAUGUGCAUGGUGGAAACUGGAAAGCUGCCUUGAGACGCCUAAAAAGGAGCAUAGUUGGCUCUAGAGUGGAGUUACAAUCAAUUCAAUGACAAGGAGCUUAAACCAUUGUUUAACAGUCGAAGAAGUUGAUAGGCAAGCUAUGAAAGAUAAAAUCUUGUCUCUGUGACAUGAUAAAAGACAAGAAGAUUCUGAUAAUUUUAAAUGAUGUUUGGGAUAAAAUUGAUUUUGGUGUUGUGGAACUUCCUAGUUAUUGUGAUGUGCUGCUAAUAUGCUGAUGCAUUUAGCUAGUGUAUAGACUAUGUGGGUUGCAAAUGUUCUGAAAUGUGUGGGACUGUCAGGAGUCCCUACUUUAGCUCAAUAAGUGCAAAACAUGCAAUUUUGUUACUUGGGGGUCUAUACCGUUUAAGUUAAGCUGUAACCUUUGAUUAUCAAUCUUUUACACCCUUAACUUGAGUUUUAACUUGCAAUGAA